rnacentral:rRNA from 1 species
CCUACGGGUGGCAGCAGUGAGGAAUAUUGGUCAAUGGGCGCAAGCCUGAACCAGCCAAGUCGCGUGAGGGAUGACGGUCCUAUGGAUUGUAAACCUCUUUUGUCGGGGAGCAAGGCCCGCCACGUGUGGCGGGCAGGAGAGUACCCGAAGAAAAGCCAUCGGCUAACUCCGUGCCAGCAGCUGCGGUAAUACGGAGGAUGCGAGCGUUAUCCGGAUUUAUUGGGUUUAAAGGGUGCGUAGGCGGAAGGUUAAGUCAGCGGUAAAAUGUCGGUGCUCAACACCGUCCUGCCGUUGAAACUGGUCUUCUUGAGUGAGCGAGAAGUAUGCGGAAUGCGUGGUGUAGCGGUGAAAUGCAUAGAUAUCACGCAGAACUCCGAUUGCGAAGGCAGCAUACCGGCGCUCAACUGACGCUGAGGCACGAAAGCGUGGGGAUCGAACAGGAUUAGAUACCCCAGUAGUC